rnacentral:lncRNA from 1 species
CUCAGAGAAGGAUCCCGUGCACUCACAAUAGAAUCCUCGGAGGCUUUCCUAUCCAGGACCCUGCUGCCUCUGACCGCACCCCAAGCCUUCUCUGCUGCUCACAUGGGCUCCUCUCUCCUUUGUGCUUUUUGCCUUCUGUCCCCACUGCCUGGAAAACGUUCCCCUCACAUUUUGCAUGGCUGCUGCCUUCUCAUCACAGAGGUCUCAGGUCAACCAUCACUACCCCCAGGAGGCCUUCCUUGACUGCCCUAUCUCCUGUCACUGGCCUCCACUACCAGUCACUGCCAUGUUCACUUCCUUUUGUUGUCAUCUAGCACCUGUCCCUGUCUGAAUUGUAUCAUUUAUCUGUUAUUAUUUGUUUAUUCUGUUCCUGCCUGUCUCCCUGAGGCCAGGGACCUUGUCUGUCUUUAUUACUAUGCUGACCCUGGUGCUCAGCACUUAAUAAAGAAUCAUUAAAACAAAAUGAAUGAAGGACACUAAAGGCUGUCAUAGAAGUUACUUGGACAACACCACCCACCCCUGGGGGGUGGGGUGGUGGGAACUUGCUUGGUGAUGGCAACAAACAAACAAACACUUUCCCCUUCCCACUUCUCUUCCGGUAUUCCAGACAGGAGGAAUAAUGUACUGAUCUGCUGACAUUAAGAAGGACCCUAUUUUCAGAUUACUUCUUCAAAGGAGCAGCAUCUACAUUGGCAAGGCUGCCCUCUGGUGGUCGAACAUGUAGGAGCGAAUGGGAAGGAUGGAAACCCCAGUAGCCAGGAACCAGCCCAGCUGGCUGAGCCAACCACGCUCAAGAGACUGGCCAGCGAGCCAGGGAGUAGGCCCAAACCAGAGGAAAUAACAUAAACCAGGACUCCUUGGAAAAGCCCUCGGAUGCCUCAGUGCCCCUCCCUGGAGUUUUGUCCUGUGCAGUGGCCGUCCAUCUUGCAUCCUUUAGAAGAAGCCUCUUGAAAGCGAGAACCAACAGGCCCAGGAAUCCCUGGAUCCACCUCACCUCCACUUGGCAUUACAUACUCAGCCCUUUGAAGUCUUCGGCCCUGAUACGGCUGAUGCGGUUGAAGCGUGCAUACAG